rnacentral:lncRNA from 1 species
GAGAGAAAGAAGCCCACACCAAGGGUUGUCCCAGGCUCCCGGUGUGUUUGCUACUGCCUGCUGCACAGAGUUCCGACAGGGUCCUCCCUUAACAAGCAAAGAGGAAAAUCAUCUCUGUUGCGAUGCCAGUGUGACUCGGCAAAGUUGCAUCUAGCGUGCGCGUCUGUCCUGGCUGAGGGGGGCUGAGAGAGGCUUUGCUGCCCUUUUCCCCCUUGAAUACGAGUUUCUCGUGACUUUCCACCACCCUGAACUCACAAUGAUCCGUCAAGGACCUUCUCCUAUUUCCCUCCCAGCACCAUCCUAAUUUCCUCCCUUCAGUGGCUUCUCUCCUCUUCAUGAUCACUUUAUCCCUUCCUGGACCAGAGGAAAUAACGAGAGACAGUGCCUCCUCCGCUGAAAAUCCACAGCCAGGCAUGGACCCCUCCUCACCACCUCCUACUAUGGUACUUAAAGACCUCACCAUGAAAAACUGGAUUGCAUAAAGGACUGCUCCUGGACAGAGACCCCUGGCUUGUUAUAUUUGCACAACUGGACAGUUUUCAUGGCAUAGAUUGGAUGGACUCUGUCAGUGACAGGAGGCAAUGUCCCUCCUGAAGGAGGGAAGGGAGUCUCUUCACUAGCAAAUACUCCAGUUUCUCAGCCAUUGGGGAAAAAAAAAAAGAUCCUGUGAUUCCAACCAUGGAACUGCUACUCAAAACAACUGCAAGAAAGAGGAAGUAGAGACCACGCGAGGUAUUUCCGUGUAAGACUGUUCCACCUUGAGAAAAGAAGCAAAAUGUGGAAAUGGGUCCUUCGCUGGAGAAUGGAUUAAAGAGUCUUUGGUCUCCUUCUGAAUUGUGCUACUUAAUUUAUCAUCACCACCAUCAUCAUCAUCUUUGUUGUCAUCAUCUCCAUCACCCGUGCUUCCUACAUGCCAGAAGUGUUGUGUUCCCUGGUUGAUCUCAUUUAAUUCUUCUGACAGCAAUAUGAGAGAUUUUGCAAUACUAAUGACAAAGAAAGCCUGGUGGAAUCACCUACUGGGAAGGCAGUGGUCCAGCUUUGGGUAAAUCUGAUUCAUUUACUCAGCAAAUAUUUAUGGAGCACUUACCAUGUGCUGUCAGGUUGUUGGGAUACAUCCGUUAACAAGAAGGAAGAAGAUUCCUGUCCUUAUUCUAGCAAAGAAAGCAGGAUUCAAAGCACUUCCUCUUAAGUAAUAGGCCUUGGCAGCUAUGCAGAGCAUUGCAGUGAGAAGCUGCUGUCUUGGGGGAGCUUUACUGCUUUUGGAGAUUUAAUACUGAUCUUGAACUUGAGGUGUGUCUGCAUGAACUUCUAUGCACCAGAAACUUUCAUUUCAAUGCUGAAAUGUGGGGUAAGAUUUUGGUGAAAUUUUAAACAAAUUUAGGGAACUACCUUAAGUAAAUUCAACCAGGUAUCACAUGCAGUCUUACUUUGGAAUUGUGAAAAAAAAAUAAUAAUAAGAGUGGAAAUAUGGAAAGAGAAUGCAAUAGCUACAACAGCAUAAACAUUGACUAUUAAGAAUCAAAAUAAUAUUCAUAAAAAAUAUUCAUUAAGUUAGGUGUCAACAUUUGUAAGAAAUGCACUGUUCCUGGCUUCGAGGUGGAAGAAGGCCGCCACAAGCUAAGGAAUGUGGGCCGCAUCUAGAAGCUGGAAAAGGCAAGAAAACAGUCUCCUCUAGAGCCUCUAGAAGGAAUACAGUCCUGGUGACACCUUGGUCUUGGCCCAGUGAGACCCAUAUCAGAUUUCUAACCUACAGAACUAUAAGAUAGUACAUUUAUGUUUUCUUAAGCCACUAGGUGUGUAAUCAUUUGUUACAACAGCCACAGGAAAGGAAUGCAUGUAUGGUUCUCUACAUUUUUGGUCUCUGCAGAGACAGGGUGGAUGGGGCCAGGAGACUAGCUCUGGCACUUAGAAUGGGGGAUGGGUGUGAUUUGCCCCCUACCUGGGCAAUGUGCCAUGACCUCUCUCUCUGGUGGUUGGACAGCUGAAUGCAGAGGGUCAGUAGAGGGUCAAGGAGGCUCUAGUGGAUGGCAGAGUCGCUGUUUGCAAGGAGCCUUGAAUCUGAAGUCACCACUUGAAAGAGUGUUGCCUCUGGGAGCUGCCCCAACCAAAUGCAUGAGUCUUAAUCCCCUGAGUUCCCAGAGUUCAUUUUUCCCUGCAGCAGAGCUGCUUCUAGUCUAACUCCAGAAUCUCCAAAUCAGAUUAUUUUUUCUUUUUAAAAAAUUUUUAAAGAGUUUUUUUUCUUUUUUUUUUUUUAAGGGAUCAAACUUCUACAUGGGCAAAGUCAGAACUUUGUUGGGCUUCCUUAGCCUUAGUUUGUAAUUCAGUCUUUUUAAAAUUUCACGUAGCACAUGGAGAGCAUUGUAAUCAAAUUUCUAUACUUAGGGCUUGUGACGGUCUUAAACCAGUGCUACUUUCUUGGCCACGGAGGCACCCACAGCCUCACAGUGCAGACAGACAGCUCAUUGGUCUCUUACAGGCUCUUCUGGCCUUUUCCUAAAUAUGCUCUCCAGUGCCAUAAAUUUCUACUUUUGUCCAGAGAUUCCUUUUUCUUGGAAUAUGUACCCCACCCCUUCCUUUAAGCUCAGCUCAAUUCCAUCUCCUUCAAGAUGCCUUUCUAGAUUCUCCAAGGAAUAUGAAUUUCCUUCCUCCAUGAUUCCCUGUGUUCUUUCGUAAUACUUAUUAAUGGAUCCCUGUCCUCUCUACCCAAGUACACACACAGGCACAUCCUAAAAUGUAGCUUCCAGAAGGCAAAUAUCAUCCCAGGCUCACUGUGGUCCUUCACCAUAAGAUAGUGCUCUAGGGCAGUAAAUGCUCUGUGCAUUUGCAAAUUUUAGUAAAACCUCUGCGGCUGGUGGAAGAGUUUUGUUUUGUUUGUUUAAGCAGACAGGAUCACGUGGUGCCUUUUAUAUUAUCAUAUAGGACUGGUCCAUUUAUAUAGAGCAAGGGUCCCCCAAGAUUCCUUGUUCAUCAAAAUCUGAAUGACUAAACCAGGCACUGUGCUAAAGGGCCGGAGCACCACGUACCCUGUGGAACUAUCAAAUGUCACCCACUAGGACAGCUGCAAACCACAUAUAGAGUGUACCUACUACGUACCAGACUUUGGGCAGGUGAUCGACAUCAGCCUGAGCCUCUGGCCAGUCCUUCACUUUCUAGGACUUCUUCCCUUUCAGGGAAAUUUGGCCUCCCAGCAUCUGGGGAACAAGCUGCUUAUUUGCUAAUAUCUGUUUGCACAUCAGGGUUUUUUACUUUUAGGAACAGUUUGUCUCUCUGGCAGAUCUCCGUGUUCCCAUACCGUUGUUUAUGAUGUAACUAAGCAUCUAUCGUAUAGAAUUGAACUCAAUUCUCUUUUGAAACUGCAAGAGAUCUAACCCGCUCAUUUUCUUUCCAUUUAACAUACGAGAGGGGUGUGUAGGAGCAGUUUAUUAAGGGGGAGCUGUUUAUUGAGGGAUCCUGGGGCUAAUCCCAGCCCAUUAUUUCUCCAUUUCCUUACAGCUCACUGAGAAGGGUGGGAGAGAACAGGAACGGGGAGACUAUUCUUUCCUGAGUGAUUGUUUGGCCAGUCCACAGGGAUCCUGACUUUCCUACACCCAUCAGGGAAGUAGCAUCCAGAGGGUCAUUCCAGGGACAGGGCUGGCUGUGUCAGGCUGUAAUGAAUGGUUCAGACUGAGAAGUGGAACUUGGCCAACAACAGGGAAAGACAAUAAUCAUUGGAAAAUUUAGGCAUUGAGAAUAAGAUCCAUGUCUGUCUUAUGUCCCCUGGGUACCAACACAAUGACUUGGCUUAGUAACUGCCCCAUAAUGUUUAAAUUAUGUUCAGUGAAUGAGUGAAUGAAUGGAUGCCGUAUUCUUGCUUCCUUCUCCAAACACUCUUUAUAAAAUUACGGCAUCUCAUUCAUGUCUCCUCUAUAAAUCGGGAAUUUGGUGAGGCAUGCUGUUUAUUGCUUAGGAAUCAUUUUACUUAAUCACAAAGGUCCCAGGGGUUCAGGCGGGGAAAAAAAAAAAAAA